CCUACGGGUGGCAGCAGUGGGGAAUAUUGCACAAUGGGGGGAACCCUGAUGCAGCGACGCCGCGUGGGUGAGGAAGUACUUCGGUAUGUAAAGCUCUAUCCGCAGGGAAGAAAAUGACGGUACCUGACUAAGAAGCCCCGGCUAACUACGUGCCAGCAGCCGCGGUAAUACGUAGGGGGCAAGCGUUAUCCGGAUUUACUGGGUGGAAAGGGAGCGUAGGGGGGGUGCUAAGUCGGGUGUGAAAGGCCGAGGCUGAACCCGGGGACAGCAUUGGAAACUGGGAGACUGGAGUGCAGGAGGGGCAGGCGGAAUUCCUAGUGUAGCGGUGAAAUGCGUAGAUAUUAGGAGGAACACCAGUUGCGAAGGCGGCUUGCUGGACUGUAACUGACGUUGAGGCACGAAAGCGUGGGGAGCAAACAGGAUUAGAUACCCUUGUAGUC
rnacentral:rRNA from 1 species